UCGUCACACUAUCAUUAACUGAAUCCAUAGGUUAAUGAGGCGAACCGGGGGAACUGAAACAUCUAAGUACCCCGAGGAAAAGAAAUCAACCGAGAUUCCCCCAGUAGCGGCGAGCGAACGGGGAGGAGCCCAGAGCCUGAAUCAGCAUGUGUGUUAGUGGAAGCGUCUGGAAAGGCGCGCGAUACAGGGUGACAGCCCCGUACACAAAAGCGCAUGUGCUGUGAGCUCGAUGAGUAGGGCGGGACACGUGGUAUCCUGUCUGAAUAUGGGGGGACCAUCCUCCAAGGCUAAAUACUCCUGACUGACCGAUAGUGAACCAGUACCGUGAGGGAAAGGCGAAAAGAACCCCGGCGAGGGGAGUGAAAAAGAACCUGAAACCGUGUACGUACAAGCAGUGGGAGCACCCUUUGGGUGUGACUGCGUACCUUUUGUAUAAUGGGUCAGCGACUUAUAUUCUGUAGCAAGGUUAACCGAAUAGGGGAGCCGGAGGGAAACC
rnacentral:rRNA from 2 species